CCCUGGUAGUCCACGCCGUAAACGAUGUCGAUUUGGAGGUUGUGCCCUUGAGGCGUGGCUUCCGGAGCUAACGCGUUAAAUCGACCGCCUGGGGAGUACGGCCGCAAGGUUAAAACUCAAAUGAAUUGACGGGGGCCCGCACAAGCGGUGGAGCAUGUGGUUUAAUUCGAUGCAACGCGAAGAACCUUACCUGGUCUUGACAUCCACAGAACUUAGCAGAGAUGCUUUGGUGCCUUCGGGAACUGUGAGACAGGUGCUGCAUGGCUGUCGUCAGCUCGUGUUGUGAAAUGUUGGGUUAAGUCCCGCAACGAGCGCAACCCUUAUCCUUUGUUGCCAGCGGUCCGGCCGGGAACUCAAAGGAGACUGCCAGUGAUAAACUGGAGGAAGGGGAUGACGUCAAGUC
rnacentral:rRNA from 2 species